GGCUCCCCCUGCGCGGACGCCCAGACCCGGCCUCGGGGAGGGUCCUCGGGUUCCGGCUCGGUGGGUCGGCAUCUUGGGGUCCUCGCGAGGCGGACGCGGAGCGGAUAGGUGGGCGGGGUCUGAGGAUCGCGCUAGACUCCCGGCGUGGGGACUGGACCCUGGACGGAGCCGGUGACCUCCGCUCCUCCGUGGCCAAACCCUGAACAAAGCCGAGCGUGAAACUGGAGAGUCUGGGCUGUGGGCGCCCUUACCUCUGACUUUUGAGGAUGUGGCCGUUUAUUUCUCAGAGCAAGAAUGGCAGAAUCUAGAGGCAUGGCAGAAGGAGCUUUACAAGCAAGUAAUGAGAGCCAAUUAUGAGAUUCUCCUUUCUCUAGAUAAUGGACUUCCCAAACCAGAACUAAUAUCCUGGAUUGAGCAGGGGGAAGAGCUCUAUAAGAAAUGGGGAGAAUCACAGGAAUCAAGAAGCAUAAUUUGUUCCUCUGCUGAUUUGCAUUUUGAUCCAGUUAUUGAGGGACAGCCAUU